AUUGAACGCUGGCGGCAGGCCUGACACAUGCAAGUCGAGCGGAUGAAGGGAGCUUGCUCCUGGAUUCAGCGGCGGACGGGUGAGUAAUGCCUAGGAAUCUGCCUGGUAGUGGGGGAUAACGUCCGGAAACGGGCGCUAAUACCGCAUACGUCCUGAGGGAGAAAGUGGGGGUUCUUCGGACCUCACGCUAUCAGAUGAGCCUAGGUCGGAUUAGCUAGUUGGUGGGGUAAAGGCCUACCAAGGCGACGAUCCGUAACUGGUCUGAGAGGAUGAUCAGUCACACUGGAACUGAGACACGGUCCAGACUCCUACGGGAGGCAGCAGUGGGGAAUAUUGGACAAUGGGCGAAAGCCUGAUCCAGCCAUGCCGCGUGUGUGAAGAAGGUCUUCGGAUUGUAAAGCACUUUAAGUUGGGAGGAAGGGCAGUAAGUUAAUACCUUGCUGUUUUGACGUUACCAACAGAAUAAGCACCGGCUAACUUCGUG
rnacentral:rRNA from 1 species